rnacentral:snRNA from 1 species
UGGCUUAACAGCAGGUAUGCUAAAAUUGGAACAAUACAGAGAGGAUUAGCAUGGCCCCUGCACAAGGAUAACAUGCAGAUUUUUCCAUAUUUUU